rnacentral:misc_RNA from 1 species
CCUUCUCAAAAACCCAGUUUUUGGUUGUGAGUGAUACUCUGUUACAGGGUUAACUUGAAAAUGCUAUGCCCAUUUGGCUGCCCCUUCUCUGAGGGGACUGCGCGUCUGUGCAGGAUGUAACCAAUGUAUUUAGGUAUUCAUACCAACUUUCAUUGUGCGCGUCUUACGCAGUUGUAGUCCACCCAACCUCGGACACACUGGGCUGGCUGGGCCAACAGUAUUCAUAAA